UACGUAGGGCGCAAGCGUUGUCCGGAAUUAUUGGGCGUAAAGAGCUCGUAGGCGGUUUGUCGCGUCUGCUGUGAAAACCUCAGGCUCAACCUGGGGCUUGCAGUGGGUACGGGCAGACUAGAGUGCGGUAGGGGUGACUGGAACUCCUGGUGUAGCGGUGGAAUGCGCAGAUAUCAGGAGGAACACCGAUGGCGAAGGCAGGUCACUGGGCCGCAACUGACGCUGAGGAGCGAAAGCAUGGGGAGCGAACAGG
rnacentral:rRNA from 1 species